CGCAGCCCAGUCUGUGGAAAAGUUCGUUUUGCAAAGCAGGCAAACCUAUCUCCUUUUUCUGACUCUCCUUCCCUUUCUGGACAAGCUUGGCUGGCCAAGAGAGAUUUCAAAGCGUGUAUGUUAUGUUUUCUCAAAGGGGUUGAAAGUUGUUUUCCCGUCUGUCUGGAGACAAGAAUCAUAAAGAAAGUUCCUUAAGAUGAAGACACAGAUUUGGAGAGGUGCAGUUAUUGUUCACAGCUCACACGUCUGGGUUAGAACCGACACAGCCAGGUGGCGGGGCCCAAGGUCUUCGCCACCACACCGGCGUCAGAGCGUGUGCAAGAGAAAUGACAAAAGCAUCCGAGAGCUCACAGGAAGAGGGUGUCACCUUUGAUCGAGGAGGCAGAUGUUGAACACAGUGGACAGAUGAAAGAGGAGAAAGAGAAGGAGAAAGCAAAGAAGAGAAAGAAGGAAAGGACAAGAAAGACUACUCUCAGCACCAUUCCCUUAAUAUUUACUCAAUUUUUAUAAUAUGGGAUUAAAAUUACAUUUUCCAUAUUACAAACUCGUUCCUCUUUUUCUUUCUUGAGAAAAACUGGCAGCGUAUAUUGCUUUUCAUUUUUAUUUGCUUUUAAAAGCUGCUGAUCUCCUCAGGACCCUAGAAUACCGGCGUGAUGACCUCUUACUGGUUCUUCAGAGGCAGAUAUUCACCACAUCCCCGUGGUGA